UACGUAGGGUGCAAGCGUUGUCCGGAAUUAUUGGGCGUAAAGAGCUCGUAGGCGGUUUGUCGCGUCUGCUGUGAAAUCCCGAGGCUCAACCUCGGGUCUGCAGUGGGUACGGGCAGACUAGAGUGUGGUAGGGGGAGAUUGGAAUUCCUGGUGUAGCGGUGGAAUGCGUAGAUAUGCGGGAGGAACACCGAUGGCGAAGGCAAUCCCCCUGGGCCUGCACUGACGCUCAUGCACAAAGCUGGGGAGCAAACAGG
rnacentral:rRNA from 1 species